rnacentral:rRNA from 1 species
AUUGAACGCUGGCGGCAUGCCUUACACAUGCAAGUCGAACGGCAGCACGGGAGCAAUCCUGGUGGCGAGUGGCGAACGGGUGAGUAAUAUAUCGGAACGUGCCCAGUCGUGGGGAUAACGUAGCGAAAGCUACGCUAAUACCGCAUACUAUCUAUGGAUGAAAGCGGGGGAUCGCAAGACCUCGCGCGAUUGGAGCGGCCGAUAUCAGAUUAGGUAGUUGGUGAGGUAAAGGCUCACCAAGCCGACGAUCUGUAGCUGGUCUGAGAGGACGACCAGCCACACUGGGACUGAGACACGGCCCAGACUCCUACGGGAGGCAGCAGUGGGGAAUUUUUGGACAAUGGGCGGCAAGCCUGAUCCAGCAAUGCCGCGUGC